GGGAUACCCGCUGAACUUAAGCAUAUCAAUAAGCGGAGGAAAAGAAACCAACAGGGAUUGCCCUAGUAACGGCGAGUGAAGCGGCAACAGCUCAAAUUUGAAAUCUGGCGCAAGCCCGAGUUGUAAUUUGUAGAGGAUGCUUCUGGGCAGCGGCCGGUCUAAGUUCCUUGGAACAGGACGUCAUAGAGGGUGAGAAUCCCGUAUGUGACCGGCUGGCACCCUCCACGUAGCUCCUUCGACGAGUCGAGUUGUUUGGGAAUGCAGCUCUAAAUGGGAGGUAAAUUUCUUCUAAAGCUAAAUACCGGGCAGAGACCGAUAGCGCACAAGUAGAGUGAUCGAAAGAUGAAAAGUACUUUGGAAAGAGAGUUAAAAAGCACGUGAAAUUGUUGAAAGGGAAGCGCUUGCGACCAGACUUGUCGGCGGUGUUCCGCCGGUCUUCUGACCGGUUCACUCGCCGUCGACAGGCCAGCAUCAUCUGGGGCCGCCGGAUAAAGGCUUUGGGAAUGUAGCUCCCCUCGGGGAGUGUUAUAGCCCUUUGCACAAUACGGCGCGCCCCGGGUGAGGUCCGCGUCUCGGCAAGGAUGCUGGCGUAAUGGUUGUAAGCGGCCCGUCUUGAAACACGGACCAAGGAGUCGAUUAUCUAUGCGAGUGUUCGGGCGUCAAACCCCUACGCGUAAUGAAAGUGAACGGAGGUGGGAACCCUUACCGGUGCACCAUCGACCGAUCCGGAUGUCUUCGGAUGGAUUUGAGUAAGAGCAUAGCUAAUCGGACCCGAAAGAUGGUGAACUAUGCCUGAAUAGGGUGAAGCCAGAGGAAACUCUGGUGGAGGCUCGCAGCGGUUCUGACGUGCAAAUCGAUCGUCAAAUUUGGGUAUAGGGGCGAANGACUAAUCGAACCAUCUAGUAGCUGGUCUGC
rnacentral:rRNA from 1 species